UUGUGGAUUUCGUUUCUCUUGGGUUUUGGGGAGCUCUAGACGGAAGCCGUUGCCUUGAGCUCUCCCUUGGUGUGAGGAGCUCGGGGAUUGGAUUGAGAGCUUCCAAAUUGGUUUGUGGAGCUUGCCCCAGUCAAGUUUGCAAGGGUUUGGACUUCGCCCCCAACGAAGCCACUAGUGAAACCUCACCUUUGUGGUGUUGUGAAAGCUCAUCCCACCUUUGUGGUGUGGUGAGUUGGAGAAUAGAGCGAGCCUUCGUGGCGUCUCUACCUUUGUGUAGAGCACUCCUCCAAACGGAGACGUACACCGACCCCAAUAGGUGGAACUCCGGUGAAAUUUUCAUCUCCGUGUGCGGUAUCUUUUCCCCUUUACAUUCUUGCUAUCUAUUGUUGCUUCGGCAAUUGCUUCGGCUAUUGUAUUUCAUACUAGGGUUGCAUUCACUUUAGAAAAUCUAGCAAACCCUAAGAUUAAGUGCUUUAUAUCUUUCAAAAAAAUAAAAACAAAAAGUAAAAUUUAUUAGUCACCUAUUCACCCGCUCCCCUCUACCCGACCAUACCAAUCUUUGACCAGGUCAUAGGAAACAAAUUCAAUAAAAAUAUUUGGAGGUUAUCGGUAACAGUCUCAAAACAAAUAGGGGAGCGAAGGGUUAUACGAAACAUAUUCAAUAGUUUAAGAUAUAACAUAUUUUAGAGAUGUUUUAAAGUAAACUCUUGAAGAUUGCAAAGUUGACCUGCCGUUUUGCCGGUCAAAAAAAAGAUCGCAAAGGUGAAAUAAGAUCUUUAUAUCUUUGUUUGUGAAACAAAAUGCACACAUGCCAUAGAAAGUUAAUACUACACCUUUCUUUUAUCUUCAUUAAAUGUUGAUCUAAAUCUUGUCUAUGUCAAUGCCUCCAUUUUAUAUUUAAGACGUAUAAAAUUAGGCAAGAUUAUGAUCACACAAAACACUUUGAUGGAUCUGCAAUCUACGUGGCGCGUGCAAUCAGGGGAAUAAAGGCACCAUUUCCACUGCUGAAUUCAGUUGCCGUUUUUUUAUUUGCUCGUUGUCGGUUUUGUGCGUUACAUUUUGAAAUUGACCAAAAGUUUUAUGCGUCUUAUAUGAAAAAACGGAAGUGGUACUUUAUUUUCGGAGGAGAUUCCAUGUGGACGGUUUCGGUUUUUUAUUCGAAUCGGGCAGCCCAUUUUCCAUGUCAUUCAAAACGAAAAUAUCAGUCGCAAAACCUUACAGCACAUAGCAGAAAUGAAAUAGAAGCGGGGGAGAAACGGAUCCGGACACUAGCAGGAAACCCACCAUAACCAAACCGUCUUGGCAUCAUUACUAUGGGACGAAAAGCUGCUGCCACCAAGUUAACAAAAACUAUCCUACCCAU
rnacentral:lncRNA from 1 species